GGUAGCUUGCUACCAGGCGUCGAGCGGCGGACGGGUGAGUAAUACUUAGGAAUCUACCUAGUAGUGGGGGAUAGCACGGGGAAACUCGUAUUAAUACCGCAUACGACCUACGGGAGAAAGGGGGCAGUUUACUGCUCUCGCUAUUAGAUGAGCCUAAGUCGGAUUAGCUAGAUGGUGGGGUAAAGGCCUACCAUGGCGACGAUCUGUAGCUGGUCUGAGAGGAUGAUCAGCCACACCGGGACUGAGACACGGCCCGGACUCCUACGGGAGGCAGCAGUGGGGAAUAUUGGACAAUGGGGGAAACCCUGAUCCAGCCAUGCCGCGUGUGUGAAGAAGGCCUUUUGGUUGUAAAGCACUUUAAGCAGUGAAGAAGACUCCGUGGUUAAUACCCACGGACGAUGACAUUAGCUGCAGAAUAAGCACCGGCUAACUCUGUGCCAGCAGCCGCGGUAAUACAGAGGGUGCAAGCGUUAAUCGGAAUUACUGGGCGUAAAGGGAGCGUAGGUGGCUCGAUAAGUCAGAUGUGAAAUCCCCGGGCUCAACCUGGGAACUGCAUCUGAUACUGUUGAGCUAGAGUAUGUGAGAGGAAGGUAGAAUUCCAGGUGUAGCGGUGAAAUGCGUAGAGAUCUGGAGGAAUACCGAUGGCGAAGGCAGCCUUCUGGCAUAAUACUGACACUGAGGCUCGAAAGCGUGGGUAGCAAACAGGAUUAGAUACCCUGGUAGUCCACGCCGUAAACGAUGUCUACUAGUCGUUGGGUCCCUUGAGGACUUAGUGACGCAGCUAACGCAAUAAGUAGACCGCCUGGGGAGUACGGCCGCAAGGUUAAAACUCAAAUGAAUUGACGGGGGCCCGCACAAGCGGUGGAGCAUGUGGUUUAAUUCGAUGCAACGCGAAGAACCUUACCUGGUCUUGACAUAUCUAGAAUCCUGCAGAGAUGCGGGAGUGCCUUCGGGAAUUAGAAUACAGGUGC
rnacentral:rRNA from 1 species